UACGAAGGGGGCUAGCGUUGCUCGGAAUCACUGGGCGUAAAGGGUGCGUAGGCGGGUCUUUAAGUCAGGGGGGAAAGCCCGGGGCUCAACCCCGGGUCGGCCGUGGCAACUGUCGAGCUGGAGCACUGUAGAGGCAGGUGGAAUUCCGGGUGUAGCGGUGGAAUGCGUAGAGAUCCGGAAGAACACCGGUGGCGAAGGCGGCCUGCUGGGCAGUGGCUGACGCUGAGGCGCGACAGCGUGGGGAGCAAACAGG
rnacentral:rRNA from 1 species